CCUACGGGAGGCAGCAGUGAGGAAUAUUGGUCAAUGGCCGCAGGGCUGAACCAGCCAAGUCGCGUGAGGGAUGACGGUCCUAUGGAUUGUAAACCUCUUUUGUCAGGGAGCAAAGGGCGCCACGUGUGGCGCUUUGCGAGUACCUGAAGAAAAAACAUCGGCUACCUCCGUGCCAGCAGCCGCUGUAAUACGGAGGAUGCGAGCGUUAUCCGGAUUUAUUGGGUUUAAAGGGUGCGCAGGCGGCAUGUCAAGUCAGCGGUAAAAUUUCGGGGCUAAACCCCGUCGGGCCGUUGAACCUGGGGUUCUUGAGUGAUCGAGAAGUAUGCGGAAUGCGUGGUGUAGCGGUGAAAUGCAUAGAUAUCACGCAGAACUCCGAUUGCGAAGGCAGCAUACCGGCGCUCAACUGACGCUCAUGCACGAAAGCGUGGGUAUCGAACAGGAUUAGAUACCCCAGUAGUC
rnacentral:rRNA from 1 species